AACCUGGUUGAUCCUGCCAGUGGUCAUAUGCUUGUCUCAAAGACUAAGCCAUGCAUGUCUAAGUAUAAAUGCUAUACAAUGAAACUGCGAAUGGCUCAUUAAAACAGUUAUAGUUUAUUUGGUAAUCGAAUUUACAUGGAUAACCGUGGUAAUUCUAGAGCUAAUACAUGCUAUUAAGCCUGACUUCUUGAAAGGCCGUAUUUAUUAGAUAACAGACCAAUAUUCCUCGUGUCUAUUGUGGUGAAUCAUAGUAACUUUUCGGAUCGCAUGGGUUUUGCCCGCGACAAACCAUUCCAAGUUUCUGCCCCAUCAGCUUUCGAUGGUAGUGUA
rnacentral:rRNA from 1 species